GUGGAGGCUCCAGCUGCUUGAUGGGAGUUGGGAGAUGGGCCUGGUCCCACCUGGAGUUGCCAACGGUUAUUUAAAAGAACAGUGGGCUAGUGGCCAAGGAGGAUCCUUCACUGUUGGUGGUCUUGAGGAACAUAAGGCUGCCAAGUAGGUGAAGCUAAGCAGGAGUGGGACCUCGCUGGUUUUCCAUUUGGGGGCUAACAAAACAUGGGCUGCAGUAGUGGUAUACAUAAAUAAACUUUUUUGACACCUGGGAAUUUCAGUCACAUGGGCUCCAUCCUUGAGCCCUGCCCACAACCCCUGUUCACGUAGCUGUAUGUGUGCAUCACACAAUCCACACCCGAUUGAGAACCUCGUAAAAGUUAAUCGAAUGCACUCUGGAUAACUGAACAGAAUUGUGGGAGAUUGUUCCCCUGAAAAAGUGGCAAAACUCUUCCUCCUCUUCCCCUCCUGUGCUUCUUGCUGUUGCCUGUCCAACAAUAUUCUGACUUGAUUCUCUGAAGGGAAGGGAAAAUGAUUUGGUUAAGUGACGGGUCUGCUCCGGGGAAAUGCAAAUUGACAAGAGAUGCAGCCAGAUUUGCUCCUAAGGCUGUGUUUUCACUUAGACAACCAUCAGAAACCUUCCUGGUCUCCAGAAGAAACAAAUUGCUUUGAUCUUAAAUGCGCCAAAUACCAUUAGGGUUCUCCCCACUUGCUUAGGAGUUAAUCUCACCAGAUAAAGGAGAGCCAGCUCCUUUAGGCAAAGUACAGCUCCAGACUCCAUUUUAAGCCCUACAAAAUUAAUAUAUUGCUGGUAGCUUUGUAUUUUCAUUUACGUUGCCUGCACAGUGGCUUUCCGAAAUUGGAUAUUAAUGAUUUACGCUGUAAUUUAUGUAUGUCCAUAAAGCAGAGCUGGAGUAACAUUUGAGGAAUCAAAAUCUUACUCUUGGGCAUUUCCAGGGCAAUGUAUCUAACCAUUAACCCUUUCUGAAAUUGCUCAAGGGGGUCAUUUCCAAUUCACAUUUAUGAAUAAAGCAAAUGCUCAUUAGCUUGUCCUUCAUUCUGUUCCAGAUUUCUUAAGGGGAGGGGGGAAAAACAUGCCACGCAGCAAGUUUUCUCCUUGAAAGUUCAAUAUCCACCAGAGCUAUUUACAAUAUAGUGGUUUUUAAAAUUACCCAGCACUCAUUGGGCAACCCUCUACAUUUCACUCAACAUGGGACCGCUGCUGAAAACAACAUCCAUGCGACAUGUCCCAUCCCAAACCCAUGGAACAUAGGAUCUGCUAACCUCCAUUAUAAUAUUGUCAUGUUGUGCAUUCCCUGCUCCCAAAUCAUAUCACUGAUGGAGGUUGGAAGAGGCAGGGAAUUGUGCGAUUCAACCAAAAUAGCAAAUGGGCUAAAAAUGAGCCUAUGAAUUUGGACAUUGUAAUGGUUCUAGGGGUUGCUCGUGCAUAAGCCGGUGCUGAUCUCCCCGGCUGGGUGCAAACACCUGGCUGGGUUGCCAAAGUGAACCUUUUCUGUCCGGACAGCCACUCACCCGUGGCUGACUCAAUCGCUGGCAGAAUCCGUCAGUGGGCGUUUCUUAAACUUCUUCCAGCAAAGAAGCUUUUUGACGCCUAGUCUCCUCCUACUCUCUCUGCGUGAAAGCCUUCUGCACAAGGAGGACGUGGGCAAUGGAGGACCCCUACUCUCCCCGCUGGUCCCAGGCAAGGAGUCAUGGGACCGCCUCGCCACUUCCCCCAUCUGCCCCCCUUCUCCACUGGUGCUACGCUGAUUCUCUUCCCCAGAAGAUGGGCUGCUUCUCCCGAUCCCUGGACGCUCUCUGGAAUCCCUCUGGCUUUUGCUCUCUCCCUCCGGCACUGAUGGCAGUUCCCUGACAGACAUGUAUAUUGCUAAAGGGUUUCUGGGAAAUGAUAUAUAAUGAACAAAAGAAGAUCUUUAAAAAUACAUUUGUUUAAAAAACCAGAAGCCUUUUUGGUAGGUAUAACAGGUGAAGAGUUACCAAGAGAAGAUAAAAUACUUUUUUAUGCACGCAGCAACAGCAGCGAGAAUGGUACUAGCCCAGAGAUGUCCGAAAAGAGAAGUACCAGAAAAAGAAGAAUGGCAGGU